CAGAGGUCCCAAGCGUUGUUCGGAUUCACUGGGCGUAAAGGGUGCGUAGGUGGUGAGGUAAGUCGGAUGUGAAAGCUCCGAGCUCAACUCGGAAAUGGCAUUGGAAACUACCUUGCUCGAGGGUUUGAGGGGGACUGGAAUACUUGGUGUAGCAGUGAAAUGCGUAGAUAUCAAGUAGAACACCAGUGGCGAAGGCGAGUCCCUGGAAAACUCCUGACACUGAGGCACGAAAGCUAGGGGAGCAAACAGGAUUAGAUACCCUGGUAGUCCUAGCCGUAAACGGUGCGUAUUUGCUGUAAAAGGAAUCGACCCUUUUGUGGCGUAGCCAACGCGUUAAAUACGCCGCCUGGGAAGUACGGUCGCAAGAUUA
rnacentral:rRNA from 1 species